rnacentral:rRNA from 1 species
ACGGCGAGUGAAGCGGUAACAGCUCAAAUUUGAAAUCUGGCCUCACGGUCCGAGUUGUAAUUUGUAGAGGAUGCUUCGAGCAUGGUCUGGCCUAAGUUCCUUGGAACAGGACGUCAUAGAGGGUGAGAAUCCCGUAUGCGGCCAGGUGCCUACGCUCAUGUGAAGCUCCUUCGACGAGUCGAGUUGUUUGGGAAUGCAGCUCAAAAUGGGUGGUAAAUUUCAUCUAAAGCUAAAUAUUGGCCAGAGACCGAUAGCGCACAAGUAGAGUGAUCGAAAGAUGAAAAGCACUUUGGAAAGAGAGUUAAACAGUACGUGAAAUUGUUGAAAGGGAAGCGCUUGCAACCAGACUUGCGCGCGGCCGAUCAUCCGGUGUUCUCACCGGUGCACUCGGCCGUGCUCAGGCCAGCAUCGGUUUUGGCGGCUGGAUAAAGGCCCUAGGAAUGUGGCUCCUCUCGGGGAGUGUUAUAGCCUAGGGUGCAAUGCAGCCUGCUGGGACCGAGGACCGCGCUUCGGCUAGGAUGCUGGCGUAAUGGUUGUAAGCGGCCCGUCUUGAAACACGGACCAAGGAGUCUAACAUCUAUGCGAGUGUUUGGGUGUCAAACCCAUACGCGUAAUGAAAGUGAACGGAGGUGAGAACCCUUAAGGGUGCAUCAUCGACCGAUCCUGAUGUCUUCGGAAGGAUUUGAGUAAGAGCAUAGCUGUUGGGAC